AAACCCCGCGAACCCCAGGCGAUAUUUGUUUUCUCAUAGAAAAUCAGGGGGCUCGUAAUGGGUCACCAUAUUGUUUAAUUUUUAAGGAAUGACUCAGUAAUGUGGACUUGACUGGACAUUCAGUCACUAUCUCUCCUUGCAACCGAGAGGGCCCCCUUGGAGUAAGUAAAAAAGAAGAGCCUUGGAGUGUUCUUUUUUUUUGGUGCCAAGUACUUAACUCGUCUAAAAUGAAUACCGAUUACGACUUCAAUUACAUUCAGUGUAAUUUGACCAAUGGUUCCUACGUUCUCGUGGAGGAGAAACAAACAUCAAAAAAAGCCUGGCAAAAAUUCUUACGUGUUAGUACGAUAAAUGGAGAAAAUGUUACUGACACUACAUCACCCCGUGGCUAUGCAGUCUGUCGAUCCUGCGGGGAAAUUCAUCGUUUAGGACCAAGAGGUGGGACAACCGAAUUGGAACAACACAGCUGUCCUGUUGCUGUGACAGUAGAUGACUCGGCAUCCAGGUUGGCCGAAAAAAAACAUAGUAAGAAUCAGACGGAAAAGGACCGUAAAGAUGAAAUUACUGCACUCAUUAAAGAUAUGGCGUCUCUAGUCAUGGGACAAGAAAAAGAAAAUGUUCACUUGCAAGAACUUACCAGAGCCCGUCUAACUCGGGCUUGCCUUUCUGAAAUACCUCGUACAAUCAUACAAUUUUAUACUGACGGAAAAUCCCCAACGGAAAGACCGCUAAGUUUUUACGACGAGCUUCAAUUGCAAUUAAAUUUACUUACCGAGCAGGUUUUUGAAGCUCGUUGUGAAGCUCACAAGGAAUCACAACAGGCAGAAGUUAACUCAGCAAUAAAGCAACUGAAAUAUUCAAGAGAUUAUAUGCAUAACGGAACGCCACCUAACCUUCACCUUGGCCUUUCAUACUCCUCAUCUGACGAAAACAUAAUUGACAUCACUUGGGUUUCGGCUGAUGUUACGUCUACGUUGGGCUUUGAUCGAAUAAACGUGAUCGGACGGAACUUGUCAGAAUUAAUUCAUCCGGAAGAUUAUGCAGAAGUUGUCCGCAUUUUAUUUUUGAAACGGUCGGGCGACGGUUUUACGGCUGACAGGAAGGAUUUUAGUUUCCCCGAAUGUCGCGUAACAGAGCCCAUUCGCCAUCGUCUGAAAACUGCUUCCCGAAUAUAAAAUGGUUUUUUUGACCGGGUAUGUUCGCCAAAUGUAUAAGAACAAUUCGAGAGAAAAGUAGUCAGCAGGACAGCGAGCAAAUGUUGAUGUUAGCCAUGAAUUCUUCUUGGCCUCGAAUGGCGUCAUUUAUUCACAUCUAUACUUACUAUCAAUAUAUGACGUUACACUCCUUAGAUGGUAAGAUCAUCCAAGCCGAUAAACGGAUAACAAUGGUGGCGGGUUAUACCUGUGACGAAGUCAUAAAUAAAUCGGCGCACGACUUUCAUUCGAGAAGACGCAUUGCCAAUUGUGUCACAGGCACAAUUUAACUGGUUAUACAAGGGCCGGGAAAAUUACAUAUCUUACCCUUUAAAGGCGAAAGAUCAGGGAACUAUUGUCUAUGUUAAGUCAAGGGGGAAUUUGUUUCAUUCCGUGACAGUACAACUAACAAGUUAGUUACGGGAUUUAUCUUGAAUAACGCUCGUAUACAAGAGGAAGAAUAUUUUAAUGAAGUUUCGAAACCGCAAGUGCAAGUGAAUUCAUCCUCCGAGUCAUUGUCUUCGAUGGAGGAUGGCUUUGAAGCUUCAUCGUUCUCAUCUAUAGCAGUAGAUGAAAAUUACGAAAAUUUUUUAAAUGAAGCAAACAAUUUCUUAUCCUCAACAUCAAUUUCACAUCCUCUCGAUACAUCGAACAACACGGCCUGUAACGACAGUAUGUGGCCGAUGCAUUACGUUAACCAGGGAGAAUCCCCACCUUAUCAACAAGUUAAUGGAUGGAUUUAAGUCACAGACUUCAGUCUACUGGGAUUCCAGUUCGCUGCUGCUGGUGUAUAAAGGAAUAGUCUAAGCUGUUUAGCUAAACAGAAACUGUAUAUUAUUUGAAAAAAUUAGUUUAUAUAGGUCAGUUAUUUCUUAAAUUAUUGAAUCUAUUUUAGUUGUGUGCAACAAGGAUAUCAAUAUAAAAAAACUAAACUA